UACGUAGGGUGCGAGCGUUGUCCGGAAUUAUUGGGCGUAAAGAGCUCGUAGGCGGUGUGUCACGUCGGCCGUGAAAACCUGCAGCUUAACUGUGGGCGUGCGGUCGAUACGGGCAUCACUGGAGUUCGGCAGGGAGACUGGAAUCCUGGUGUAGCGGUGAAAUGCGCAGAUAUCAGGAGGAACACCCGGUGGCGAAGGCGGGUCUCUGGGCCG
rnacentral:rRNA from 1 species